UACAGAGGUCUCAAGCGUUGUUCGGAUUCAUUGGGCGUAAAGGGUGUGUAGGUGGCGCCGUAAGUCGGGUGUGGAAAUUUCGGAUGCUUAACUCCGAAACUGCAUUCGAUACUGCGGUGCUUGAGGACUGGAGAGGAGACUGGAAUUCAUGGUGUAGCAGUGAAAUGCGUAGAGAUCAUGAGGAAGACCAGUGGCGAAGGCGGGUCUCUGGACAGUUCCUGACACUGAGACACGAAGGCCAGGGGAGCAAACGGG
rnacentral:rRNA from 1 species